rnacentral:rRNA from 1 species
UUGGCCUCAAAUCAGGUAGGACUACCCACUGAACUUAAGCAUAUCAAUAAGUGGAGGAAAAGAAACUAACAAGGAUUCCCCUAGUAACGGCGAGUGAAGCGGGAAGAGCUCAAAUUUAAAAUCUGGCAGGCUACGCUUGUCCGAAUUGUAAUCUCGAGAAGUGUUUUCCGCGUUGGCCUGUGUACAAGUCCCUUGGAACAGGGCGUCAUAGAGGGUGAGAAUCCCGUCCUUGACACAGACACCCAAUGCUUUGUGAUACACUCUCAAUGAGUCGAGUUGUUUGGGAAUGCAGCUCAAAAUGGGUGGUAAAUUCCAUCUAAAGCUAAAUACUGGCGAGAGACCGAUAGCGAACAAGUACCGUGAGGGAAAGAUGAAAAGCACUUUGGAAAGAGAGUCAAACAGUACGUGAAAUUGUUGAAAGGGAAACGAUUGAAGUCAGUCGUGCCUGCCUAGAUUCAGCCUUCUGGUGUAUUUCUAGGUCGGCAGGUCAGCAUCAGUUUGGGGGGGUUAACAAGGGAGCUGGGAAUGUGGCAACCUCGGUUGUGUUAUAGCCCAGUUUCGCAUUGAUCUCGCUGGACUGAGGAACGCAGUGCGCCCGCAAGGGUUGGU